ACAGUGGUCGCAUUGGACUUGGUGGCCAGCACGAGAAAGAUGAGGGUAUUUUCGAAAUUUGAUUGCAAAACUAAGGCAAUGGGGAGGAGAGGGGUAUUCGGACGUCAGAGAGUUGGCAGAUGUGAUGCUUUGGCGUUGCUUGGACAGCUUGCAGCUUAGGCAUUUUGCUUGACAGCUCACGGUUUUUGGCAGCUUGCCUGCUUUUACUGCAUACGGUUUUGGCAGCUUGCAGCAGCUUUACAGUUUGCGUGGACAGUUUGCAGAUUUGACUCGGUCUCCCAUUUGAAUUUCAAAUUCGAACAUGGGCAGCUGGCAAGUGGACAGAAUGGUGCAGUUUUGACAGCUUGUAGACUUGACUCAGUCAACUUCGAAUUCGAAUGCAACUCACUCUCUAAUUUCGUUGUCUGGUGCGAGAGGAAAGGCAACAUUUGAAUAGGGCUCCUAUUAUGGGAUUGAGCCGGCCCAUUACAGGUAGUCUAUGGACGUUUCUCUCACCGGACUCCCUCUAUUCCGAUGAUGGCAGCUUGCUCCGGCCAAAACUGGAGCUACCGCGUUGGUGAAGAAGCCCCCUCGCUCAGCAUUCAUUGAUGAGGUGAGUCUCCUUAUAGGUGGAAAGGGGCGCAUUUGGAGGAGGGUGGAGGAUGCAACCAGCCAUGGUAGACGUUCCGGCGAGGCGAGAGUGAAAUCGGAGGAGCUGUCGGUGCUCCAAUACAAUGAAGAGGGCAAGGAAGGUUGCUGAUUGGUUUUGUACAGAUUUGGAAGAUGCGGUCUUCUGUUUAACCACAGAGAGAAGAGACGGGAGGGUAAAGGCCAGAAGAAGCUGCGGUGAUCAGGGGCUGAGGAUUCCAGCCGGCAUCCUGCCUGCCGGUGGCUGGAGCUUCGGAGAGGGGCCGGAGUUCCAUUAUUUUUCAUGCACGGCGAGGUUCAGAAUGGAGUUGCACAGAGACUUACUAUACCCUCCUCAAAGAGGGGCCAUUAGAAGGGCUGCCAGUUCAGAUUGUCUCCGGCAAGGAGGCUGGACAGAGAUAGCUUGCGGAGGUGACAAGACAAGGAGGACACAAGCAUGACGACAACAGUGACAUAUGUUAGUGACAGUGAUACAUGUUAGUGUGGUUGUAUGUUAGUGUUUGUACUCGAGAUCAUAUGAGAUUGUGACGAAGGUUGGUGUCACCGUACAUCAACCUAGUGCUUAAUGUGUACAGUGCCAAUCCCCUUGGGUGCGGUGCUAUAGAUUUUUA